rnacentral:rRNA from 1 species
UACGUAGGGUGCAAGCGUUGUCCGGAAUUAUUGGGCGUAAAGAGCUCGUAGGCGGUUUGUCGCGUCUGAUGUGAAAACUCGGGGCUUAACUCCGGGCCUGCAGUGGGUACGGGCAGACUAGAGUGCGGUAGGGGAGACUGGAAUUCCUGGUGUAGCGGUGAAAUGCGCAGAUAUCAGGAGGAACACCGGUGGCGAAGGCGGGUCUCUGGGCCGUAACUGACGCUGAGGAGCGAAAGCGUGGGGAGCAAACAGG